rnacentral:rRNA from 1 species
GACGAACGCUGGCGGCGUGCCUAAUACAUGCAAGUAGAACGCUGAAGAGAGGAGCUUGCUCUUCUUGGAUGAGUUGCGAACGGGUGAGUAACGCGUAGGUAACCUGCCUUGUAGCGGGGGAUAACUAUUGGAAACGAUAGCUAAUACCGCAUAACAAUGGAUGACACAUGUCAUUUAUUUGAAAGGGGCAAUUGCUCCACUACAAGAUGGACCUGGGUUGUAUUAGCUAGUAGGUGAGGUAACGGCUCACCUAGGCGACGAUACAUAGCCGACCUGAGAGGGUGAUCGGCCACACUGGGACUGAGACACGGCCCAGACUCCUACGGGAGGCAGCAGUAGGGAAUCUUCGGCAAUGGGGGCAACCCUGACCGAGCAACGCCGCGUGAGUGAAGAAGGUUUUCGGAUCGUAAAGCUCUGUUGUAAGUCAAGAACGAGUGUGAGAGUGGAAAGUUCACACUGUGACGGUAGCUUACCAGAAAGGGACGGCUAACUACGUGCCAGCCGCCGCGGUAACAC